rnacentral:rRNA from 1 species
GACGAACGCUGGCGGCAUGCCUAAUACAUGCAAGUCGAGCGGAGUGGAUGAGAAGCUUGCUUCUCUGACGCUUAGCGGCGGACGGGUGAGUAACACGUAGGCAACCUGCCUUUCAGUUUGGGAUAACUUCCGGAAACGGAUGCUAAUACCGAAUACAUCAUCUUCUGGCAUCAGAGAAUGAGGAAAGACGGCGCAAGCUGUCACUGAGAGAUGGGCCUGCGGCGCAUUAGCUAGUUGGUGGGGUAAUGGCCCACCAAGGCGACGAUGCGUAGCCGACCUGAGAGGGUGAACGGCCACACGGGGACUGGGACACGGCCCAGACUCCUACGGGAGGCAGCAGUAGGGAAUCUUCCACAAUGGGCGAAAGCCUGAUGGAGCAAUGCCGCGUGAGUGAUGAAGGUUUUCGGAUCGUAAAGCUCUGUUGCCAGGGAAGAACGUCCGGGUGAGUAACUGCACCCGGAGUGACGGUACCUGAGAAGAAAGCCCCGGCUAACUACGUGCCAGCCGCCGCAGUAA